rnacentral:lncRNA from 1 species
GUCUUAUUGAAAUUCAUACCACAUCUCCUUAUUCUGGUUAUCAUACAGUAUACAUGUUAUACCAAUGUCCCAGGUUAGGGGAGGGUUGGGAACUCGCUAACAUGUUUAACCCCGCCACAUUAUUUAUGUAUGUGCCUGUCCCAAGUCAGUAGCCUGUAAUUCAGUGGUUGUCGUUUGUUUAUGUGUUACAUAUUUGUUUUUCGUUCAUUUUUUUACAUAAAUAAGGCCGUUAGUUUUCUCGUUUGAAUUGUUUUACAUUGUCUUAUCAGGGCCUUUUAUAGCUGACUAUGUGGUAUGGGCUUUGCUCAUUGUUGAAGGCCGUACGGUUACCUAUAAUUGUUAAUGUUUGUGUCAUUUUGGUCUUUUGUGGAUAGUUGUCUCAUUGGCAAUCAUACCACAUCUUCUUUUUUAUAUGUUAUACAAGACUAAAAUACCUAGUAUUAUCAAAUGAAUUAUAACAAUUGUUAAUAGUUGUCAGACUUUUGUUAUCAAAAAGCAGCUACAUGUGUAUAAUCAAGAUGUAGACAUGAUCACUGGUGUCAGAUGUAAACAAG